UAUUGCUGAUGCAGCUACAGAGGUAUUCAAUCGCGUUCAUAAAAUGUAUAUUAGAAAUAUGAUUCUUAAAAUUUAUAUUGAUAUUUAUUUAAGCCUGUGAAAACAAAGAAUGUGGUGUGUCAAAUUCCUCAACGAAAGACAUACAAAAAAGACACACAAUCCAAAAAUUGGACUAGGUGUUUCGCCAAAUAAAUAUUGUCAAUUAUCAAAAAAAAAGAGAAUGGGAAUCAUCGAUGUUGAUUAACAGAUCAAAAAAAUAUAAUGGUAAUUUUUCAUAGUUUACAUUUUUGUAAUUUAUAUUCUUUGACGUGUCAAAUAAUUUUUAUAUUCUUAUUUUAGAUUUAACAAAGUCAAUGAUUAUAGUACCUAUUGAAAAUAAAAAAUAAUCUAUUAAUA